UUGGAGGGCAAGUCUGGUGCCAGCAGCCGCGGUAAUUCCAGCUCCAAUAGCGUAUAUUAAAGUUGUUGCAGUUAAAAAGCUCGUAGUUGAAUUUCGGGAUCAAUAUGUCGGUCGUGCCUUCGGUACGUACUGGCAUCAUUGGUUUCUCCCUUCUGACAAACCAUGAUGUCAUUAAUUUGGUGUUAUGGGGAGUUAGGACUGUUACUUUGAAAAAAUUAGAGUGUUUAAAGCAGGCAUUAGCUUGAAUACAUUAGCAUGGAAUAAUGAAAUAGGACGUUUGACCCUAUUUUGUUGGUUUCUAGGAUCGACGUAAUGAUUAAUAGGGAUAGUUGGGGGCAUUAGUAUUCAAUUGUCAGAGGUGAAAUUCUUGGAUUUAUUGAAGACUAGCUACUGCGAAAGCAUUUGCCAAGGAUGUUUUCAUUAAUCAAGAGCGAAAGUUAGGGGAUCGAAGACGAUCAGAUACCGUCGUAGUCUUAACCAUAAACUAUGCCGACUAGGGAUCGGAUGAUGUUAAUUUUUUAAUGACUCAUUCGGCGCCUUACGGGAAAC
rnacentral:rRNA from 1 species